UUAAUAUUUGACUGUUUUCAGUCAUCUUGCAGCUUCUGGGACGAGCGGGAGCACGAAGUGCUUUGGCUGUUCGGCAACUCCGAGUGGCCACGGUACAGGGCAGGUGGCAUGGCGGCAGCCUACUUUCUUGUGCUCCUGGUCGAGUCUUGUGGAGAAGCAGGGAGAAUCGGGCAUCAUCUCACUUGUGCCUAUGUGGUGAAUGAGGUUUUCAAAUGUUGGAAGGAGGAGGACAAUAGGAACUUCUGUUAUGUCUUAGCAUCUAAAUUUUUGUUUUAAUUUUCUUUGUUGUAGAAUAGUUUUGUUUGGCAGUUACUGUUCCUGGGAUGUAAAGAUAUCUUAGAUAUGUAUUGCUGGAAUGAAUGGUUGUAAUAUAAUAACAUUGCACGUUGCCCAAGAUAGCUUGUGGUGUGAUGUGUUAUAAUGUCAAUGGCAUAAUAACUUCUUUUGGAAUCA